AAUUACCUCUAACAAAAAAAAUUAAUAUAAAUAAAUAUUAUAUAGAUUAAGGACGUGAUUGUUCAGUUGAAUUAUAAUAAAAUUAAUAGAGUAAAAGUGUUUUCCUUCCAUUCAGUUAAUUUUUGGACAUGAAACAGAAAAAAUAAUGUCUCUGUUUUAUUUCAAGUCUUCUUUUUUUUUUUUAUGGAUUGGGGGGAGUAAAUUUUUUUAUACUCUUAGUUAAAAUUAAACUCAGAGUAAAAAUAUAUAAAUAAGUGAAUAUUUUAUAUAUUUUCAUUUUAUUUAUUUAUUCUAGUUUCAAUUUUUUCCUCUUUUAUUCUUUAUAAUUUUCGUCUAAUUACUUUAGUGUGAUCCCAAUUACACUUUGAAUCCAAAACCUCAAACUAUAAACACUAAAAUCUAAACCUUAAAUUUCAUUAAUAGUUAAAAUUUCUAUAAAAAAUAGUAUUGAUUACUAAAACUUCAACGUAACAAAUCAAAAUCAAAAUUGUUAUAAGAAAAUUCAACAUCUCUCUAUAAUUCGUAGAAACUUUUUAUUAUACACAUUAUUCAAAAUUAUUAUAAGAAAAUUCAACAAUUAAUUCUCCAAAGAUAUGAACAGACAUAAAGAACUAGUAGUAGAAAAUUACUAAAAAAAAUAGGGCCAUUUCGCUGAAAAUACAAAGAACGAAAGAUAUUUAAGUUUCAUAGCUGUUAACUUUUUAUUUGGAUAUGGUGAUAAAGGCGUGGUGGGAAACUUACCAUUUUGUCCCCGACGUCGAAUAUCAAUCAAAUCACGUUGUGUCAGGGAACUCUGAUGAAAGCGACGUUUUGGACAUACAUAUAGGGUUAGUUUUGGGCAUACGUCUAUUAUAAACAGGAGCAGAUAUCAACUUUUCCAAUUACCUAAAUUAUCUUUCUAACGUGUAUAGAGGAUGCAAUUACUCAAAAAAAUAUAUGUACAACUAUUUUCCCGUGUGUACGAAUACAAUUCAAUUUUGUUAUAGGAAAAUUCCACGAUUCUCCAUAAUUUAAGCCGCCUUAUGUUGAUUUUUAGAUGCAUUGAAAUGAAUAAGCAAAUACUGAAUAUCACUGAGCUCUUAAUAUAUAUAUAUAUAAAUAUGAUGAGAAUGACCACCAAAACGAAGACAUCAAGUAAACAACGAUGAGCGUCACUACUUCUCUCAUCUCUUCUUUGAGGUCUUCCUCUCUCCUCGGAACCAAAGUGGUCACACCAAGAAGCGUUGUUCUUUCACGGCGGCUAUUGUCCACAUCCUAUGUUCCUGCUACCAAAGCUGCAUUGCCGUCGCGGGCCAACAACGUUGUUCCCAAAACGCCUGCGUAUGAGAUCGUCUCCAGCUUCUACACCGCCAUUAACAGCAAUGAUUUAUCCUCUGCUAGGGACCUCAUUGCCCAGGACUGCGUCUACGAAGAUCUCAUUUUCUCAUCUCCCUUCGUUGGCCGAACGGCAAUUCUAGAGUUUUUCGGAAAGUUCAUAGAUGCAACUAGUACGGACAUGCAGUUUGUGAUAGAUGACAUUUCGAAAGAAGACUCCUCAGCUGUUGGAGUUUCGUGGCAUCUUGAAUGGAAGGGAAAAAAUUUUCCAUUUAGCAAAAGUUGCAGCUUUUACCGGUUAGAGGUUAUUGAUGGCAAGAAACAAAUUGUAUAUGUAAGGGACUGCGUCGAGCCUGCAAUUAAACCCGGAGAAAGUGUUAUUGCUGCUGUCAAAGGAGUUGCCUGGCUGCUCAGGAAAUUUCCUCAAAUUGCUGAUCGUUUCUGAUGGAAUUAUGAUGCGGCUUGCUUAAUAAAUUCUUACAAAAUAAAUAUUACGAACGACUAUAAUCUUGCUUGAUCUUCAUCUACAAUUUUCUUUUACAUACCAUUAAGUUGGUACGUAGUACUUGUGCCAUCCACAAAUUUAAAUGUAACUGUAAACGAAAACAACUUAAAUAAAUUAGAAGAGUGAGCAACAUUGAUGGUCGAUUUAGCUUAC